AUGGAAGAGAAUAGUUCUGUCAGUGAACAUAUACUCAAAAUGUCUUGGUAUAAUAAUCACUUGAUUCAACUGGGAGUUAAUCUUCCUGAUGAUACUGUCAUUGACAGGAUUCUUCAAUCACUGCCACCAAGCUACAAGAGCUUCCUGAUGAACUAUAAUAUGCAAGGGAUGAACAAGACUAUUCCCGAGCUCUUCACAAUGCUAAAAGCCGCGGAGGUAGAAAUCAAGAAGGAGCAUCAAGUGUUGAUGGUCAAUAAGACCAUCAGUUUCAAGAAAAAGGGUAAAGGGAAGAAGAAGGGGAACUUCAAAAAGAACAACAAACAAGUUGUUGCUUAA
rnacentral:rRNA from 1 species